AAGUGUUGUGUUUAUAAUUUUGUUCAGUGUAAAUAAAUUAUCUUUGGUUGUGUUUUAGGAGUGUGAGCAAGAACGGGAGGCUCACAUUAAACAGAAGUCAUGCUGUGAAGACUGUAGGGAAGCUUUAAGAGAGUGCAAUGAGUUACUAAAGGCAAGCCAUUUGUGUCAGUUGUGGGUCAGAGAUGUAAAUACAGUAACUCUGGGCAUUUUAAACAUGGAUAUUUAAGAGCAAAUAUUUAAUCUUCAAACCAUAUAUGAACCAUGUGUGUGUGAGGACUCUUCAUGUCCAUGCUGCAUGAUAAAUUACUAUGUGCUGAACAAUCCUCAUUUUUUUGUGUUUUUCUUGCACACUGGAAAUCUUUAACACCUCUAGCUCAUGAGGAACUUGUUAAUUAGCUCACACUCUACUCCAUGGAUAUGUUUUAGGAGAGUGAGCAAGAGCUUGAGGCUUACAAUAUCCGAGUGUCUCAGUACAAUCAGAUGACUUUAACAUGCAACAAGAAGUUACUAAAAGUGGUUCUAAAGAGAGAUGAGACCAGUUCUCAUGCCUCAGUGUGUGAGUAGAUGCAAAUGAUGCCAGCAGGUUUUGAUUAUUGAACUUGCAGAUCUCUCUGGCUGAAGCUGAGACAAAAUAUGAUCAGGAAAAGGAGACCAACGCUAAUCUGGAGCAAGAGAAGUCAGAUCUGAUGUCCCAGUUGGAGAAGCUGAAAGGCACAGUGGAGGGUUUGGGUAAACUGCUCUCUGAGAAACAGAGUCAGUGUGCUGAGGCCCUGUUGGAGUGUUCCAUAAACAAGAGCAUUCAAAAUAUCAUCGAAUCCAAAGAGAAGACUUUAGAGCAGGAAAAAGAAUCACUUAAGGUACCUGUGAGUCACCUUGUAUGUGUGUGUGUGUGUGUGUGUGUGUG